rnacentral:rRNA from 1 species
UACGUAGGGGGCGAGCGUUGUCCGGAGUACUGGGCGUAAAGCGCACGCAGGCGGUCUGCUAAGUUUGGAGUGACAGUUGGUGGCUUAACUGCCAAAGUGCUUCGAAAACUGACAGACUUGAGGGCUUCAGAGGGACACGGAAUUCCGGGUGGAGUGGUGAAAUGCGUAGAGAUCCGGAGGAACACCAAAGGCGAAGGCAGUGUCCUGGG